rnacentral:sRNA from 1 species
GGGUCGGGCCCCGGCUCAGUGGUCCCAGGCAGCUCGGGUGUCGGAACCCCCAGACAGUUCACGCGACAAAGAAUCACGCGGGUCAACCUCAGGGACCUCAUAUUUUGUUUAGAAAAUGAACGUGAGACAAGCCAUUCACUGCUGCUCUACAAAGCAUUCCUUAAGUGACACAGGAGGACGCCUGGGGACUUUUUAUAUAUUUGCAGAUUACGCCUUUUUGUAACAAGCAAAUGGGAUAUUGUUUAAAAAACAGCCACCUCUUUACAAUGGAACAGUUUUAUAUUCCUGUUUCUAAAUCAGCUCUUCAGUGUGAAAGAAAACACGUUUCUGUAACAGAGAGAACACAAAGGCCUGUGGAUACUCUUAAAGGACAACUAAAUCUUAACUCAUCUUGAUUGAGUGGCCUUCUUGCCAAACAAGCCAUAUAUAAAGACUGAUGGAAUCGUUAGCAAAUAAUUAGCUGCCCUCUGUCAACUC